UAGAGCCAGAGAGUAAAUAUUAGAAGCUCUGUGGGCCAUAUGGCUUCUGUCACAGCCACUCAACUCCAGCCUUGCGGUGGGGAUAUAGGGGAAGACACUCAACGGUUGGUAUGUGAGAUCAUCCUGCCAUGAAAACUUAUUCGGAAUCCAGGUAGCCUCCAAUGCCAGGAAGAGCUAUAAAAGCACCGAAGAGAUGACUAUUCCAAUGUGACUUUGUGGACAGGUAAGGGAAAAAAAUGAAGAACUCACCUACGAAUUCAUAAAGGCUACCCAAAGCACAGCUCCCUACAAGGCAGGAAAAUAAUGCACUAUCAUCCCGGGGCCAUUUUGCACUGUGUUUGUGUUGAGAUGUCAGAUCGCAUUCUUAUAUUUGGCUCUGCAUUUGGGAGGACAUUUCAAUGUCAGAGGAUUUAAGUAUAAUGUCUCCGAGGGACGUUGCCUUCUUGUGGCUAAGCACAUUCACAGAUCACACAUAAUCGAACAAUACGGCCUCUUACCAAACAGGAAUCUUUCUAGAUGCUGUGAAGCAAUAAUCUGUCCUGUCAUCGUUCCCUCAGAGCAAUGACUUCCUGUGGCAACUCGAUCGUCCUGAAAGGUGUUUUGAACAGUCUGGACCGUGGCGUUCACGUAAGGAGUGCAAGCAUUAGCACAAUUUAGGAAUAACGUGGAAAGAGACAGAGAAUGGAAUCCAAGCUACAGAAGGACAGGAAGCCAUACAUCACAACCAGAGUCACGUUGCGACUGUGACACAGUCGGUGGCCUGAACAGGGCCUUCUACAAUGCCGUGAGCUGCUGCCAAAAAUACUUCAGGAGCCCGAACUUCGAAACUGACUGUAAACUUGUCUUGAACAGCCCCCAGACACCUUGGCCUUUGUUUAUAGAAGUCUUUGUUUUCCUCUGACAGCAGUACCAGGAACCUAACAUUUUCCUAGUCGAGGAUCGUUCUGCAUUCAUUGUCCCCGCAAUGCCAGAUUAAGUUGACAGCCUGGCAGCUUGGCUGGAGGAAUGAAAGAUCCUUUACUGACCAUCUUCCGUGUCCUUAUUCUCUGCCUAUUAAGUUGAAUUGAAUUCUAUUUUUCCUGGCCAGCCUGCUCCCAGGCUUCUCCCUCUAGGAAGUCGCAGAGAGCUGAACCUGGUCUAGGCAACCGGAUUGAAUUUUGUGGCGAGUCAGGAAGAUUUCCUCUGGACGAGAGUUACGGGGGUUCUGCUGGAGGAGGAAGUCACCCGGUACCCAUCCCGGCCCUUUUGUGAGCUUGCUGUGUGACUUUUGGGCAAAGAUUUUUGGAAGCAGCUGCCUCUUUUUCCCUUGCCAAUAGCUGGAAAAGGAGAACUUUGGAUGCCAGGGAAAGGUUGAGCCACAGAACUGAAGCAACAUGACUUUCCAAACUACCCCAAGGAGGAAAGAUGCCCACUAAGCAAUGACACUACACUGUACUGAUGAUGACAUGAGUAAGAACUGAUCAACUCUUGUGAGGAAGUGGGAUAGAAAUC